CCUACGGGAGGCAGCAGUGAGGAAUAUUGGUCAAUGGCCGGAAGGCUGAACCAGCCAUGCCGCGUGAAGGUCAGUGCCCUAUGGGUUGUAAACUUCUUUUAUAAAGGAAUAAAACGAGGCACGUGUGCCUUUUUGCAUGUACUUUAUGAAUAAGGAUCGGCUAACUCCGUGCCAGCAGCCGCGGUAAUACGGAGGAUCCGAGCGUUAUCCGGAUUUAUUGGGUUUAAAGGGAGCGUAGAUGGGUUGUUAAGUCAGUUGUGAAAGUUUGCGGCUCAACCGUAAAAUUGCAAUUGAUACUGGCAGUCUUGAGGACAGUUGAGGUAGGCGGAAUUCGUGGUGUAGCGGUGAAAUGCUUAGAUAUCACGAAGAACCCCGAUUGCGAAGGCAGCUUACUAAACUGUGACUGACAUUGAUGCUCGAAAGUGUGGGUAUCAAACAGGAUUAGAUACCCCAGUAGUC
rnacentral:rRNA from 1 species